UACGUAGGGUGCAAGCGUUGUCCGGAAUUAUUGGGCGUAAAGAGCUCGUAGGCGGUCUGUCGCGUCGGCUGUGAAAUCCCGGAGCUCAACUCCGGGUCUGCAGUCGAUACGGGCAAACUGGAGUACUGCAGGGGAGACUGGAAUUCCUGGUGUAGCGGUGAAAUGCGCAGAUACCAGGAGGAACACCGGUGGCGAAGGCGGGUCUCUGGGCAGUAACUGACGCUGAUGCACGAAAGCUAGGGGAGCAAACAGG
rnacentral:rRNA from 1 species